GCCUGUGUGGCGGAAUUGGUAGACGCGCUGGACUCAAAAUCCAGUGGUAGCAAUAUCGUGUGGGUCCGAGUCCCACCACAGGCA
rnacentral:tRNA from 1 species